AUUACAUUGACCAAGGACUAGCCUCCGACUUCUUUUUAUAGUAUAGUACAAGAUUUAAACUUCAGACUGUAGGAAUCCACGUGAGGCAUCUGCCACACUGGGGAAACCUUGACUUCAGGCCAAAAAGACGUUCUGAGCUCAUUUGAUGGCAUCUAAGAAUGGUAGGCUCACUGGAAUGUAAUUUUCCUCCCCCAUACUCUUCUGGCUCUCUCAACCCAGGAGCAGAUGGAUGAAUGAAGAACAGGGCAUUGUCCUCAUGCAUAGCUGGAGUGUUGUAAGUGCCGUGUACAUGUAUGGAAGGUCUUUGACACCAUGUGCACCCAAGUCGGACAUGAG
rnacentral:lncRNA from 1 species